CCGGAGAGUAUACAAGAACUAAACUUGUUGCUUUUCCUUGUUGCAAGUGCAACACACUUAGAGGAUGCCAGGCUUCUUCCUGCCAAGCUGAAACAGGCUGAAAACCACAUUGAAACAUGGGAAAUUGCAGCUACCCCAGAUGGCAGAUGAGGAUUGUUUGCAGGCUCCCCUGGCCCUCCCCUCGAGGCCGGUUACAGUUGGAUGAAGGUUAUGGACAGGGGCUGGCAAAGCAAAGAGUCACUGUGCUGCUGUGAGACUGGGAUGAAUGGACUUUGACAAUACUGCUGAAUAGGAGUGCUUGUGGAGCCAGUACAAACAAUCUGUAAUUGUCAGAGCUGAAAAGUAAAAACAUGAUUAUGAACUGCACACAGGAUCAGCUUAUGUCAGCUUUAAAUGAUUUAAAAGUCUAGUGUCUGGAGCCGCAUCUCACUUGCCUGUAAAACUCCUUAAAGAGGACUUACAUAACCGUACAAGCAUGUCUCUCCCUUCUUGUGUGCAUUGUGAAAACUAACCCUUUGUCUAGCACUCAGAAGGCAGUUUUUAAGACAGAUAAAUCAGGAAACAGGGGUUUUCUUGAUUUAAAUGGAGGAGAUGCUUGCCUUGUCAGAGCAGCACUUUCAGAAAGCCCUGGUUAUCCUUGCUCUGUGCAGGAAGGGCUCUCAGUAACCAGGUGUUGAUGCAGCCCUGGUCUCCUGGCAGCUUCAGAACCUGGAUGGAUGUGACACGAGUUUCUAAAUGCAGCAAACUUCCUUGAGAAGAGAAGGAGCACAAGAAAGCCUCUUCUGUUACCUAGAGCCAACCAUCAUUACGCCUGACCCUAGCUCAUUACCCCUCCAUGUCUGCAGCAGAUGGUGACCUUAGGUGGCACUGCACAACACUGAGCGAGGAGAUGCCUUCCUUGUGACUGUGGUUCCUGAAUGCCAAACGCUGCAUCUUCUUCCCCACUAUGCGUCCAGCCUUCCUCUAUGCCAACACACCCACAGAAAUUAAAGUACUACUGUGUACUACUAAGCAACACUAUUACACAGUGGGCUACAUUUCCAAUUUUGCCACAAAUGCUUCCCAUCACCCAGCAGAAUGGAGUAGAAUGGAAGCAACUAAUUUACCAUGUAAUAAGAUAGGGUCCUGUUGACACAAGUCAAGGGCAAAACUAUUAAGUCAUUAGGGCUAAUGUUGUUACAUUCUGAUACAAAGGCAGCCCAGGCCUUUCAGAUGUACAUCUGACCUCUGAGGAUUAAGUUUCUUCACAGCUUAUUGUUGGUACAGAAAAUGUCUUCCCCCCCCCUCCCCCCUCUUCUGCUUCAGACACAUUGAUCUUUGGCCCUGUGCUACGUACAGCUUGCAGAUCUGCUUCUGAAGUCCUGAUUUGCCCCAGUUUCAUCAGAAAUAAUAAUAGCAAAGGCGUCACA